AACUAAUCCUGUCACUGUAAAAUCCUACAGUCAUUCUCCAACAUAAAGGGAAAACGGACUCACUAGGAGGACCUAGACUCUUUCAGCUUGAACUGUUAACCAAUGGUGGAAAUGCAAGAAUGCUGAAGUUGUGCCUUCAGAGCCAAUAGAGUGGAUUUGUGUGUCCCACAUGACUGUGUUUCCCCUGUCUUUCACAUGGGCAGUAUUUAGUUCAAUUCAGAACUGCAGAUAGUAUAGCGUGCAGAGCAGCAAUGGGAUGUCUGAGCACAAGUAGCUGACUUCCAGGCGACUUCAGGAAGCUCAUUUGUACAUUUCUCCUGAAUUAUCUGGGAUUCUGCACCCUUGACAUUCUCCAACCCUCCUUGUCGCUGCAGGAGGAGACAGCGACCUGCACAGCACAACAAAACUACAAAUCACCAGAGAGCUACAGACCAGCAAUGAGGAGAGCUGAGGGCAAUUUGACCAACAUCGUCUGUGUCGGUUCCCCAGAAGUCGAUGAAACAUGUAAUCGGGUCUCCAAGACCACAAGACUCAGAAGAUCACUGUGGAAGAAAGACGCUGAGCCAACCCAUUCUUUUGAUAUGACACAAAGUACAGCCCAGUUUGGUAUUCCUUCCACCCUGAAGGAGCUUCAGAUCAGAAGAACAGAAGAUUAGACUUCUACCGACUCUGAGAGACAGGGAGUGGAGCCAGCAGCAAUAUUUAGCAGAGUGACUGAUUUCUGGCACCAUCUAGCUUCUCUGCAACAGGAAUCUGGCAGCCUGAUGAGCAUCCAGGUAUCAGCUGGUGUAAACCCAGAUGCCACUGACGUCAAUGGAGCUGCGUCAGUUUACUCUAGCUGAGAAUCUGAUCCCAAGUGUGCCUCUGCCAUUUUUAGACGCUGCCACUGGAAUUCAUUUUUGCAAGACAAUUUAAAAAAACACAUCCACACAUUGCAUUUCUUCCUGUCCCCAAGUGUUUAACUGGAAGUCUGUUGAUAGACUGUGGGAGAGGGCAAGUGGGAGGUGGAAGUAGCCAACAACUGCAUCCAUAGAUAACUUUGCAGUAUCAGUACGAACACUGUUCCGCUGUCUUCCUUUUAUACAAACGAGUUAUUGGCUUCAGAAAGUUUUAACUCCACCUUCCACCAAAAAACAGUUCCAUGUCAGCGAAAGAAAAAUGAUGCUGUAAACCAUGUGAAGUAUCUACCUCAUAAAGUUGCUAACGUAGUAUUUUAACCAGUACAUAUAGAUUGUUUUAAUGAACUUAAAAAGUGCCUAAAGCUACAAGAGCCCCUGGCGAGUUCUGUGUAUUCACCUAAGUAUUUGUUCCUAAGCAAUCUCCCUUGCUGUACCAGCAGCAAGACUGGUAACUGUUCUAAGGCAGCUGUUUGAAGUGGCCUGCAAGCCAGACUUCAAUCUGGCUGACAUCUUUCAUAUCUCAUCUAGCAUUUGUGUGGGAGAGAGAGGAGGGAGAAAGAAAAAGGUGGGGCAAUAAGCAGGGCAGAAUAGUACUUGACAGCUCCACCAUUUCUAUGCAGGGAGAGGAAACUUUUGCCUCUGUUUUACAUAAAAGACAGUUGUUAACAUGAGUGCAUUGUAUAACAGCUUCCCAGCAUUAACCACUACAAUGAUGUUGGAAUGUUGGUCUUUUGAUUCAACAUAGCAAGGUCAAAAUGAAAAAGGUAAUUAAUUAGAACUGAAGAUGCAGCUCACAUAGUACUGAAAUAAUUGUCUAUUUGUGCAAGCACAACAACCAUAUCUUCAAUUUAGGUCAGGCCAUCAAGAGGAGGAAAAGGACUGAAGACUGAAGAUGAGAUGCUCUACUUCACACAGUUGCCCUCUGGAAGGACUUGCAAAGGCAGUCACUUAAAUUAAGUACAGGUCAUCAGACAAGAUAUCUAAUCUAUUCCUAAGACAGGCAGCUCUAGCAGUCCAAAUCCCCAUGGCCUUUGCAGCGACAUGAUGAACUACUUCCUCAUGUACCUCUGUCAAUUCACGUUAGGUUGCAGUUUUUUUAAAGCGAUAUUUUAUGUACAUCAUGACCCUAUUGCUCAAAGCAAGGAAAGUGCUUUGGUUUAUUUAUGACCUACUAACCUUAAAUAAAAAAAAAAAAAAACACAUCCAAUCUGAAUGUUCACAUAAGCCUGCAGAUCUGAAAUAAAAUUUAAAAUAAAGCUGGCAUUUGUAACAGCUAGCUAAGCCCAAUAAGAGAUUUUUAAAAAAUGAAAACCAGAUGAAAGAAGAUGAAAGCAUAUUUAUCCUGCAUAACCUGCACACAUCAGGAAUCAGGGCUGGAACCCAGAAAUACCUUUUUUACUUAGAAGUUUCAGCCCAUUUCACAGGCUAGAUGACCAAGGAAAUACUGAGGUUUUCCAUGAUAGGGGGUGGGGAGGCAUUAAUAACAACCUGUGAAUGUAAUUCCUUCGAAGAUGUAAUCCACCCAGCCACAAGCUCUACACAGCUCCUCUCCUUCCCUGCACCCCAUCCCAAUUGCCAGAUAUCAGCCAGGCAAGUCCCCAUACUGAAAUAUGAAGUGACAGAUGGAAGCAGGGAAUAAGGGCAUAGGAAUGAGUACUGAAAGAAAUUGAGAACAGAAAACAAGCUUAUAAUAGGGCAGAUCUUAAACAUGAGCAACCCUAAACCAUAAAGUUAUUCAUUUGGCUAGAACAAAGUUGAACAGAUGCACAUAAGACUGAGUUGGAGAGCCUUAUUCUCUCAUCACACAUGCCAGUGUACAGAGGUCUUCUCCUGACAUCCAUGGAAUUAUACCUUAGAAAUUUCAGUAUAAAUAAAUGGAGAAAUAAAAAUAAUCACAGCUAAAAUAUUGGCAGCAAAUAUCCUGUGCUGCUGUAUUGGGAAAGAAAGGUGAGCUGCCACAUUUCAUUAAAAUGUAUUUGAUUUAGGUAUAUUCAUAAUCAAAGUGGCCUUCAUAAACAAAACACAUCUAAUCCACCAUAAUAGUUGAUUCUGUUUUGGUCUAGUUCUCCAGUAGGCUAUAUUAAUGACCUUUUCUUUUAGUUUAGUAUUAGAUGGAAAAUACUGUUGAGUCAAAUAAUGCAAUAAAUACCUCUACAUGCAGAGCAACUCAUUGAAAGAAACAGUUAGGACCAAGUCCUUGUCAUAGUGUUUGUUUACAAAAUAGGCUGAGGCAGCACACUGAUCAACUCCAGUCCUUAAGUGUGGGUUCCCCUAACACAAGUACAGGCAAAACCCCAAACAUUUAUACAGCCUUAUAAACAACAACAGAUGGAAGAGAGAGAGAGUAGAGGGCAUCUUUAUCCAAAGGAUAAGGUAAACAGACAAACUGCAACUCAUGUAAGUCAAUGAAUCAGUCACAUAAUUUCAGCACACUUAAGAGUGGACCUAGCAGAAAAGAAUUCUGACAAGCGGAGCUUCAAGAACACCUGCAUAAGAACUCUGCUCACAAAUGAAAAUAAGAAAGAAGUCUGGGAAACUGCCAGCUCCUUGCAGAAAGACUGAAACAUGAUCGGCAGAGAAGGGUGUUGGUGUCGACAUUUGAGGAUGCAGUCAAGUCAAUGGAGUUCUGUUGUAGUGGUUGCUUCAGUGAACAUUCAACGCUGUCGGCCUUAACACCGAAGAUAGCAACCUAACCAUCAUAUGAUGUUUCUCCCUCACCCUGCCAAGCUUUACAAAAAGGUCACAAUCAACAUUCAUUGCUGUCGGUGGGUUUAACUAUGUGGACAAGCUCACUGAACAAUGAAUGCAACUGUGGCCCCACAAUGUACAGCUGCUGUUGAGAGGAGCAGCAGCUCUGAAGGCAAUAGUGAGAAGCAAACACUCAUAAGCUACAGUUUUCUGGUCAGAAAAAUAGUUGGGGGUAUCCACUUUUUGCUUGCUUGGUUUUGAGUGUGUUUAACUUAGCUGACUAGAAAAAAAAAACCCGCUGCCUUUUUCUGGAGUAUCGUCCUCACAGGGUUCAGUACCAUUGAAAAUGUGAAAAUUCUUAUUUAGUAUGUAUGCAGAAAAAAUAACAGGACACGAAGCUCUGUAUAUCCAUUUCUAAGGAUUCUGACACAAGAGGAAAAAAUAUUUCAUUGCCAUUUAACUAGGAAUUGUUGAGGAGUUCAAAAGUUUAUUCUAUACUUGUAAUGACAAAUACAACUGGGAACAAAUGGGAUUUAAGAGUUAUGGAUAAAAAUGUUACAUCAAAAAAUAUUAAUUAAUUUUACAAUAAACUGAUUUUAAGAACACAAAUACUAUUGCAUUUGCUAUUUUUAGGGAUCUGAAAGAUGACAAAGAAAUGUUCAUCCAGAAAUAAUAAUGGAAAAGCAGUUAAAUUUUAAAGUUACUGUAAACUGAGUACCUAUGUCACACUCUGAGUUUUGCAGUAAGAAAAUAAAGUGUAAAUAAGCUCACAA